UACGGAGGGUGCAAGCGUUAUCCGGAUUCACUGGGCUUAAAGGGUGCGUAGGUGGAUUAGUAAGUCAGUGGUGAAAUCUCUGGGCUUAACUCAGAAACUGCCAUUGAUACUAUUAGUCUUGAAUACCGUGGAGGUCAGCGGAAUAUGUCAUGUAGCGGUGAAAUGCUUAGAUAUGACAUAGAACACCAAUGGCGAAGGCAGCUGGCUAGACGAAUAUUGACACUGAGGCACGAAAGCGUGGGGAUCAAACAGG
rnacentral:rRNA from 1 species